rnacentral:rRNA from 1 species
GAUGAACGCUGGCGGCGUGCCUAAUACAUGCAAGUCGAGCGAACAGACGAGGAGCUUGCUCCUCUCACGUUAGCGGCGGACGUGUGAGUAACACGUGGAUAACCUCCCUAUCAGACUGGGAUAACUUCGGGAAACCGGAGCUAAUACCGGAUAAUCUAUUGAACCGCAUGGUUCAAUAGUGAAAGACGGUUUUGCUGUCACUUAUCGAUGGAUCCUCGCCGCAUUAUAUAGUUGGUAGGGUAACGGCUUACCACGGCAACGAUGCGUAGCCGACCUGAGUGAGUGAUCGGCCACACUGGAGCUGAUGCACGGACCUGAGGCCUGAGGGAAGGCACAGUAGGGUAGCUAGCGCAAUAGGCGGAAUCCUUGCGAAACGACGCCACGUCAGUGAUGAAAGUCUUCAGGGCGUAAUGACGUUUUUUGAGGGGAGAACAAAUAUGUAAGGAACUGUGCAGGGCUUGACGGUAACUAGUCAGGAAGCAACGGCUAACUACGUG